rnacentral:rRNA from 1 species
UACGUAGGGUGCAAGCGUUAAUCGGAAUUACUGGGCGUAAAGCGUGCGCAGGCGGUUUUGUAAGUUUGUCGUGAAAGCCCCCGGCUCAACUGGGGAGGGUCAUUCGAUACUGAUCGACUUGAAGGCAGGAGAGGGAAGUGGAAUUCCCGGUGUAGUGGUGAAAUGCGUAGAUAUCGGGAGGAACACCAGUGGCGAAGGCGACUUCCUGGCCUGUUCUUGACGCUGAGGCGCGAAAGCUAGGGGAGCAAACGGG